GAGUUUGAUCAUGGCUCAGGACGAACGUUGGCGGUGCGCCUAAUGCAUGCAAGUCGAGGGAGAAGCCGUCGUUCCGUAAGGAUCGGUGGUGGAAACCGGCGAACGGGUGCGUAACACGUGAGAAGCCUGCCCCCCAGACCGGGAUAGGCCGAGGAAACUCGGAUUAAUACCGGAUACUCUCUUUGGACCGCAUGGUCCGUUGAGGAAAAGUCCGCUGGGGGAUGGUCUCGCGGCCUAUCAGGUAGUUGGUGAGGUAACGGCUCACCAAGCCUACGACGGGUAGCUGGUCUGAGAGGACGAUCAGCCACACUGGAACUGAGACACGGUCCAGACUCCUACGGGAGGCAGCAGCAGGGAAUAUUGCACAAUGGGCGAAAGCCUGAUGCAGCGACACCGCGUGCGGGAUGACGGCCUUAGGGUUGUAAACCGCUUUCAGGAGGGAAGAAAAUGACGGUACCUCCAGAAGAAGCUCCGGCCAACUACGUGCCAGCAGCCGCGGUAAUACGUAGGGAGCAAACGUUGUCCGGAUUUAUUGGGCGUAAAGGGCUCGUAGGCGGUUCAACAAGUCGGUCGUGAAAGCCCGGGGCUCAACCCCGGGACGCCGGUCGAAACUGUUGUGACUAGAGUUCGGUAGAGGUGAGUGGAAUUCUCGGUGUAGCGGUGGAAUGCGCAGAUAUCGAGAGGAACACCAUUAGCGAAGGCGGCUCACUGGGCCGAUACUGACGCUGAGGAGCGAAAGCGUGGGGAGCAAACAGGAUUAGAAACCCUGGUAGUCCACGCCGUAAACGAUGAACACUAGGUGUAGCGGAUCAAUUCAUGUCUGCUGUGCCGUAGCUAACGCAUUAAGUGUUCCGCCUGGGGGAGUACGGCCGCAAGGCUAAAACUCAAAGGAAUUGACGGGGGC
rnacentral:rRNA from 1 species